CGGGGGAGGCCGGAUCCUGGGCUGUGUCCCGGCGCCCUGUGCUCCGGGGCCUGCGCUGUUGGAUUCGCGCUCCCGCCCCGAAGCCCCCU
rnacentral:pre_miRNA from 1 species